AGUGAACGCUGGCGGUAGGCCUAACACAUGCAAGUCGAACGGCAGCACAGUAAGAGCUUGCUCUUACGGGUGGCGAGUGGCGGACGGGUGAGGAAUACAUCGGAAUCUACUUUUUCGUGGGGGAUAACGUAGGGAAACUUACGCUAAUACCGCAUACGACCUACGUGUGAAAGCAGGGGAUCUUCGGACCUUGCGCGAUUGAAUGAGCCGAUGUCGGAUUAGCUAGUUGGCGGGGUAAAGGCCCACCAAGGCGACGAUCCGUAUCUGGUCUGAGAGGAUGAUCAGCAAAACUGGAACUGAGACACGGUCAAGAAUCCUACGGGAGGCAGCAGUGGGGAAUAUUGGACAAUGGGAGCAAGCCUGAUCCAGCCAUACCGCGUGGGUGAAGAAGGCCUUCGGGUUGUAAAGCCCUUUUGUUGGGAAAGAAAAGAAGCAGGUUAAUACCCCGCUGUUCUGAAGGUACCCAAAGAAUAAGCACCGGCUAAAUUCGUG
rnacentral:rRNA from 1 species